AUUGAACGCUGGCGGCAGGCCUAACACAUGCAAGUCGAGCGGGGUGAUGGUGCUUGCACUAUCACUUAGCGGCGGACGGGUGAGUAAUGCUUAGGAAUCUGCCUAUUAGUGGGGGACAACAUCUCGAAAGGGAUGCUAAUACCGCAUACGUCCUACGGGAGAAAGCAGGGGAUCACUUGUGACCUUGCGCUAAUAGAUGAGCCUAAGUCGGAUUAGCUAGUUGGUGGGGUAAAGGCCUACCAAGGCGACGAUCUGUAGCGGGUCUGAGAGGAUGAUCCGCCACACCGGGACUGAGACACGGCCCAGACACCUACGGGAGGCAGCAGUGGGGAAUAUUGGACAAUGGGGGGAACCCUGAUCCAGCCAUGCCGCGUGUGUGAAGAAGGCCUUAUGGUUGUAAAGCACUUUAAGCGAGGAGGAGGCUCUUUUGGUUAAUACCCAAGAUGAGUGGACGUUACUCGCAGAAUAAGCACCGGCUAACUCUGUGCCAGCCGCCGCAGUAA
rnacentral:rRNA from 1 species